UAUUUGAAGGCUGACGGAUAAUGGAUUUUCUCGUGAUUGAACGCAUACACGAUUCUCUCGAUUUAGAUACUAACUUUUUGAACUAGCUCUUACAUUGAGAUUUUACUUUGGAGAUUUUACUAUGGCGAACUCUUUGGUAAUGAAGUUUUUAACAAGAUAUACCGAUGAAUUUAAUGUUCGAGAAGAUCUGAUGGGACUAGCUAUUGGUGCUCAUGGUGCAAAUAUUCAAUAAGCGCGAAAGGUUGAUGGCAUUACAAAUAUGGAGUUAGAAGAAAUGCACAUUUAAGAUAUAUGGAGAGACGCAUGAAGCUGUUAAACUGUUCAGCUGUUGAUGCUAGGAUUCUGUAUACAGAGACACGACACAAUUCAGUUGUUUAAAAGCUAGAUUUAUAUAUUAAAUAUUAUAAAAAACAUCUAUUUUACGAUUAAACUUUUUCGUUAGAAAUAGUAUAUGCCAUUAAAUAUUUUUUAUUUUAAUGAAAUAAUGUA